rnacentral:rRNA from 1 species
CUGGGCUUGAACUACCAUUGACCGGUGCAGAGAUGUGCCUUUUCGCAAGAACAGUGGCAGAGGUGCUGCAUGGCUGUCGUCAGCUCGUGUCGUGAGAUGUUGGGUUAAGUCCCGCAACGAGCGCAACCCUUACCCGUAGUUGCCAGCGCGUCAUGGCGGGAACUCUACGGGGACUGCCCGGGUUAACCGGGAGGAAGGUGGGGAUGAUGUCAAGUCCUCAUGGCCCUUAUGUCCAGGGCUACACACGUGCUACAAUGGGCGAUACAAACCGUUGCAAAGUCGCGAGAUGGAGCUAAUCGGAGAAAGUCGUCCUCAGUUCGGAUUGUAGUCUGCAACUCGACUACAUGAAGGUGGAAUCGCUAGUAAUCGUGUAUCAGAAUGAUACGGUGAAUACGU